rnacentral:rRNA from 1 species
AUUGAACGCUGGCGGCAGGCCUAACACAUGCAAGUCGAACGAGUGGCGGACGUGUGAGUAAUGUCUGGGAAACUGACUGAUGGAGGGGGAUAACUAAUGGAAACGGUAGCUAAUAACGCAUACCAUCGGAUGAGCCCAGAUGGGAUUAGCUAGUAGGUGGGGUAAAGGCACAACUAGGGGACGAUCCCUAGCUGGUCUGAGAGGAUGACCAGCCACACUGGAACUGAGACACGGUCCAGACUCCUACGGGAGGCAGCAGUGGGGAAUAUUGCACAAUGGGCGCAAGCCUGAUGCAGCCAUGCAGCGUGUAUGAAGAAGGCCUUCGGGUUGUAAAGUACUUUCAGCGGGGAGGCGUUACCCGCAGAAGAAGCACCGGCUAACUCCGUGCCAGCAGCCGCGGUAAUAC